rnacentral:misc_RNA from 1 species
UGUGAUCUCAUUCACCUCUUCAUUUACUACAUCUUGUGUGAUUAAGGCUGCUCCUUUUACCAUAACCAAACACUUAUCUGCUAUUUCUUGUUCUUGUUUUUCUGCAGAAACUGUUUCAAGUUCUUUCUGUGGACUUUCUCCAUUCUUUAUGAGAUUAAUCUCUUGAUGAGAAGUGCCCAGUAGACCUGAAUUCUUCACAAUGAAAACUAGAAUCCCAUUGCAAAGAAGGAAGGUGUAGUUCUUGCCAAUAUUGGAGCUGAAGAAUUGCAUCAAGUUGAAUAUGAAAGGCGGCAUUAAAGAAUAAAGAAACAAGACAGAAAAGAAAAACAGCAAGUCUGAGAACUCAGUGAUAUUACUGGAUUUGCUUAAUUUAAUUUGGAGGUUUUGAUGCUUGAUUGGUUCCAUCUUUUUUCAAAAAUGAAAAGAAGCUUUUGGGAGGAUCAGGACUAGUGAGGGUUAUGGGACUGGUUAACUAUAGGCUAACGAGAGAUGGUGAUUGGUG